rnacentral:rRNA from 1 species
UACGAAGGGGGCUAGCGUUGCUCGGAAUCACUGGGCGUAAAGCGCACGUAGGCGGAUCUUUAAGUCAGGGGUGAAAUCCCGGGGCUCAACCCCGGAACUGCCUUUGAUACUGGUAGUCUUGAGUUCGAGAGAGGUGAGUGGAAUUCCGAGUGUAGAGGUGAAAUUCGUAGAUAUUCGGAGGAACACCAGUGGCGAAGGCGGCUCACUGGCUCGAUACUGACGCUGAGGUGCGAAAGCGUGGGGAGCAAACAGG